rnacentral:tRNA from 1 species
AAAAAACUAGUUAAUUUAUAUAACAUAAGAAUGUCAUUCUUAAAUAACUUCAAGUGUUUUUUAC